rnacentral:rRNA from 1 species
GGGGAAUUUUGGACAAUGGGGGAAACCCUGAUCCAGCCAUCCCGCGUGUGUGAUGAAGGCCUUCGGGUUGUAAAGCACUUUUGACAGGGAAGAAAUGGUAGAGGCUAAUAACCUCUGCAGAUGACGGUACCUGUAGAAUAAGCACCGGCUAACUACGUGCCAGCAGCCGCGGUAAUACGUAGGGUGCAAGCGUUAAUCGGAAUUACUGGGCGUAAAGGGUACGCAGGCGGCUAGGAAAGAAAGAUGUGAAAUCCCAGGGCUCAACCUUGGAACUGCAUUUUUAACUACCUGGCUAGAGUAUGUCAGAGGGGGGUAGAAUUCCACGUGUAGCAGUGAAAUGCGUAGAGAUGUGGAGGAAUACCGAUGGCGAAGGCAGCCCCCUGGGAUAAUACUGACGCUCAGGUACGAAAGCGUGGGGAGCAAAC